GCAGUCGAACGAUGAACCUCUUUCGGGAGGGGAUUAGUGGCGAACGGGUGAGUAACACGUGGGCAAUCUGCCCUGCACUCUGGGACAAGCCCUGGAAACGGGGUCUAAUACCGGAUAUGACCAUUGGGGGCAUCCCUGGUGGUGGAAAGCUCCGGCGGUGCAGGAUGAGCCCGCGGCCUAUCAGCUUGUUGGUGGGGUGAUGGCCUACCAAGGCGACGACGGGUAGCCGGCCUGAGAGGGCGACCGGCCACACUGGGACUGAGACACGGCCCAGACUCCUACGGGAGGCAGCAGUGGGGAAUAUUGCACAAUGGGCGAAAGCCUGAUGCAGCGACGCCGCGUGAGGGAUGACGGCCUUCGGGUUGUAAACCUCUUUCAGCAGGGAAGAAGCGUGAGUGACGGUACCUGCAGAAGAAGCGCCGGCUAACUACGUGCCAGCAGCCGCGGUAAUACGUAGGGCGCGAGCGUUGUCCGGAAUUAUUGGGCGUAAAGAGCUCGUAGGCGGCUUGUCGCGUCGGUUGUGAAAGCCCGGGGCUUAACCCCGGGUCUGCAGUCGAUACGGGCAGGCUAGAGUUCGGUAGGGGAGAUCGGAAUUCCUGGUGUAGCGGUGAAAUGCGCAGAUAUCAGGAGGAACACCGGUGGCGAAGGCGGAUCUCUGGGCCGAUACUGACGCUGAGGAGCGAAAGCGUGGGGAGCGAACAGGAUUAGAUACCCUGGUAG
rnacentral:rRNA from 1 species